rnacentral:lncRNA from 1 species
GCUUACGACCUAGGGGAUGGGUGAAUCAUCGGCCGGAGCUAAUUUAGAUUAGCAUUGGUAGUAAAUUGAUGUAACCAAUCUGUAAAGUUUGACUACAGUUUCGAAAAUGAUACAAGAUUGAUCAACUUUGGUGACUUAUUGGAAGAUGUCCGUGGGAUGGCAGUAAUCGCCGACGAGGAAUCCCUAACUGAUCAUAAUGAUUUGGGGGCGGGCAACAGUCCGGAGCAGUUCAACUACCUGGUCUGAGAUUUAAAUCCCAAAGAAAGCGGGAGAGGCUGAGCCGUUACAGAGAUUAUCAAAUGGGUUGAGCUCAAUUGAUUAAAUGAAAGUUUUUAAUAAAUUUACUUAAAAGACCUUAUAAGUAGUUUAUUUACAAUUCAAUCAUUUUUGUAUUAAAACUUAGGGUUAGGGUUUAGCUUAUGCAAUCAUUGGAAAUCGAAUUCUGAAAUUACUGUUCCAUUGCCAUCUUAUCAAACCCUAGCAACUGACAACCGUCGAGUACACACCUCCACCUCUACCUCCCCAACUCUCCGGAUCCGUUUCUGCUCUUGUCGAGUUGUCGUAUUGAUCGAGCACUCGAUUGGGUUGCUUAACAGCAAACACCCUAAUCAAAGCUAAAUCUCAAUUUCAGGGAUUUAUUCCUCAUUGCUAACGCCUUGGACACCCAGGUUCUUCGAUCUUGGCUCUAAGACCCUUCGAUUUGUCAGAUUGGGUUGUUUUUAUCGGGAUUAAUCGAGAUAGGCUUAUAUCACAGAACUUAACACAAUAUAUCAAAAAUAUUAAAUCCACAGAAGUUGAAGGUCAAGAAGAUUAGAAAUGGAUCUGAAAUCCACCAGAGACAUGUAUGAGUUGUUUCCGGCCGCUGCACUAAUGUUUGCUCGCCGCCACAGAAAUUUUCACUGACUUUUCUCCACCUCCGGUCGACAUAAGCUAAAAAAAGAUAGAGAUUUUAAUUUAAU